ensembl:lncRNA
ACAUCUGUCUGACUGAACUUCCUUCCUUAUCCAGCCAGUCUUCCUUUAGUUUGCUGUGAGGAUUUUCCUAACAGCCUCUCCAUCUGUCUGAUCUGGCUCCAGUGGGACAGUCUAACAUCUGUAUCUGGUCUCCUCCAGAUUGGCCAUUUGUGUUACUGACAAAAUCCCUGGUCCCAAAGCAAAAGAGAAUGGCGUACAGUGGAAAUAUGUGAGAAGCAGAAGGCGAAGAGUAUGUAAAGUGUCCAGAACUCUUCAGUCAUUAGACUGUGUUCCUGGCAACUAUUGUGUUGGUGAUUUGACAGAUUGGAAAAGCUUCCAGCAUCUUCAUGCAGGUGAACGGAACAGCACCUCGCCACUGCAUCUCAGUGCCUCAGACCUAAACUGAGGAAAUGGAUCAAGAGAUUUCAGAUGAUUAUUCAGUUCAAGGCACAGAAUCAUAAUUGGUCUAGGCAAGAACAUUCUAUACAAUUUUAUCAUUAUUUCCUUUCAUGUUUUAUCACCGAGUCUAUACCCCUAGACUUCCUCAUAUAUAUAUCUUAUCCCUCUAUCUAAUGUAUGUGAUUUUACUUUUCCAUUCCAUAUAUGUAUGUAUGUAUUUCGUAAAAUAUGGGUAAGGCUGUUCCUUGUGUAUAUAUUUAAUCUCCAUAAUAGCGAUGUACUCUAAACUUCAUUCUCUCAAAAAAGUGUUCCUAAAAUAUUAGUUACUAUAUGUGGAUCUAGUUCAUUCCCUUUGAUUGCUUCAUUGCUUUCUAUUUAUGCAUAUAGUGCAUAUUAUUUAUUAAUAUCCUCUCAUUAUUUUCUUUCUCCUUGUGCAUCCAUGUGUUUUUCUGGUACAGAACCCAGAGUCUGGAUUGCUGUGUAAUAGGUUAUGUGCAUACUCUGUUUUACUGAGUACUAAGGUUAUACUCCAAAGUGUCUGCAUCCAUUUGCACUCCCGCUGACAAGAUUUUGCAAAUACUCACCAACAAAAGAUGUGUUUGAUAUGCUUCUUCUACCUAUUUAGGGAUGUAAAAUGAUACCAUAUUGUUAUCUUAAUUUACAUUUAUCAUAUUAGUGAGAUCGAGAAUUGCUUUAUAUAAUUACUAUUGGCCACCAAUCACAUCUUCAUCAGCCGGUACUGCUCUGUUUCCUUGACUGCCUCCUGAGCAUCUCCCUGAAUGGUAAAUAUUGGUGUGUCAGAAGGCUCUAUAUUUGAACAUCAUCUCUUCUCAAUCUAUAAUCACUCUCUUGAUUUUUAAAACCAUCAGUCUAGAUAAGAUCACCAUCCAUGUCCUGAUGACUUACAAAUUUAUAUCUUCAGGCAGGACUUCUCCCUUAUAUCCAACUGCCUUCUUAAUGUGUCCUUUUGGAUAGUCAAUGAGUAUCUUAAAAUGUACUUAUCUGAAAGUGAACUUUUGAUCACCACACCCUCCCUCCAAAAGAGCCCUACUCCUUUGCCAGUCUUCUCCCAUUUUGCUAAGCCUGUGAAAAACUCUUGAAAUUUUCCUUGACUUGUAGCAUUCUCCCGUACUCUACCACCUACCCAUCAGUCAAUUCUUUUGGUUUUAUUAUCAGUAUUUAUUCAGAAUCCAAAUAUCUUCUUUAUAUUUCGAUCAUCAUUCCUCUGCUCCAAGCCAGCAUCAUCUCUUGCUUAGAUUAUUUCAGUAGCCUCUUAUUACACCCAU